UGGGGAAUAUUGCGCAAUGGCCGAAAGGCUGACGCAGCGACGCCGCGUGUAGGAUGAAGCCCUUCGGGGUGUAAACUACUGUUGCCCGGGACGAACAUCCCCUUUAGAGGGGACUGACGGUACCGGGUGAGGAAGCACCGGCUAACUCCGUGCCAGCAGCCGCGGUAAUACGGAGGGUGCGAGCGUUGUCCGGAAUCACUGGGCGUAAAGGGCGCGUAGGCGGUCCGCUAAGUGUGUGGUGAAAGCCCAGGGCUCAACCCCGGGUCUGCCAUGCAAACUGUCGGACUUGAGGACUGUAGAGGCAGGUGGAAUUCCGGGUGUAGCGGUGGAAUGCGUAGAGAUCCGGAAGAAGACCGGUGGCGAAGGCGACCUGCUGGGCAGUCACUGACGCUGAGGCGCGACAGCGUGGGGAGCAAACAGG
rnacentral:rRNA from 1 species